UAUGAAAUUUUGUGAAAACACAUUAAAAAAUAGCUAGUGUAUUCAGGCAGAGCACAAAAUGGCUGGCACACAUCACCCAGCGCGCUAGACGUUAGCGGUGCUUCUGGUCUAUUACCCUCACCGAUGCUACCAUAGCCCAAAAGGCGCUACGCUAGUGCGACUGACAGUUCAGUCUCACAGUCGUUAGCUCGACGGCGACGAGCAUCUCUCUCAGGCUGCGUGAUCUGUUCUGCUUGUCUCUCUCUCUCUGGUUGUGUGAUCUGUUCUGCUUGUCUCUCUCUCUCUGGUUGCGUGAUCUGUUCUGCUUGUCUCUCUCUCUCUCUCAGGUUGUGUGAUCUGUUCUGCUUGUUUCUCUCCGGUUGUGUGAUCUGUUCUGCUUGUUUUUCUCUGGUUGCGUGAUCUGUGAUGCUUGUUUCUCUCCAUCUGGUUGCGUGAUCUGUUCUGCUUGUUUCUCUCCGGCUGUGUGAUCUGUGAAGCUUGUUUCAGGUUGUGAUCUGUGAUGCUUGUCUCUCUCUCUCUCAGGUUGUGUGAUCUGUGAUGCUUGUCUCUCUAGGCUCGUGAUCUGUGAUGCUUGUCUCUCUCUCUCUAGGUUGUGUGAUCUGUGAUGCUUGUCUCGCUCAGGUUUUGUGAUCUGUGAUGCUUGUCUCUCUCUCAGGCUGUGUGAUCUGUGAUGCUUGUCUCUCUCUCAGGUUGUGAUCUGUGAUGCUUGUCUCUCUCUCAGGUUGUGAUCUGUGAUGUCUCUCUCUCUCUCUCAGGUUGUGUGAUCGCUCCAGGGUGUUGGGGGCUGUAUUUGCUGCUCCAGGUGAGUGUGAUUAGACGAGUGUAAGGGCAGGUCAGGGAUGGAGGGAAGGAAGGAGGGAAGGAGGGAGAGAGAGAGAGAUGUGCCAGAGAGGAGGGAGAAAAAAGGGAGAAGAGGAGAGGAGGGUGACUGCAAGGACAGAGAGGUUGACCUCCAGACUCCCCUGAGAGUGAUGAUGGCCUUUGACUCUGACCUCUUCAGAUCUCAUCAGCUGUCUGUGACGUUCAUACACACGUUCACAGACCUACAUACACCCAGGCCGUCCUUUGCGCAAAUGCACAUUCUCACAUUUGUGUUACGCAAAAACACACACUUACACAGAAACACACAAACAUGUAUGCACACACACACACACACACACUAUCUGUGUGUUAUGCAAAAACACAUGCUUACAGAAAUACAUGAAAACACUAAAAUGUAUGCACUCUAGUGUUCUGGGACCUUUUGGUAUGAAUCGACGAACACUUUUUUCCUAAAGUCUGUACCCCAGCCCAUAUCCUUUUGGAAUUUGAAAUGGAAAAAGGCCAUUAUGCAUUGCAAAUAUUGAUUCAGCCUGUUCCAAUAGUAUGUUAUCUGAUAUGUGAUGGAAAAUUUUCUGUGAUUAAUCAUGAUUUUCUGUACGCUCAUUUAAAAUCAUAUGUACUCUUCAAGACAACAAUAAAGAUGACCGUAUUUUCAAGUAACAUGA